AACAUAACCUUUAGCCAAACAAAUAUUAAAGGCAACGCCUGCCCAGUGAACAAUUAAACGGCCGCGGUACCCUAACCGUGCAAAGGUAGCGUAAUCAUUUGUCUACUAAUUAUAGACCUGUAUGAAAGGCAAAAUGAGGGCCUGACUGUCUCUUAUAAUAAAUCAAUUAAACUGAUCUUCUAGUAAAAAAGCUAGAAUUCCAACAUAAGACCAGAAGACCCUGUGAAGCUUAAACUAAACCAUUAAACCCAAUAAUGACUACUUUCGGUUGGGGCGACCUUGGAAAAAAAAAGAACUUCCAAACAAUGUGACUAUACUCACUCUAAAACAGGCCUACAAGCCAAUAAACGACCCAGCACAGCUGACAAAUGAACCAAGUUACUCCAGGGAUAACAGCGCAAUCUUCUUCAAGAGCCCAUAUCAAAAAGAAGGUUUACGACCUCGAUGUUGGAUCAGGACAUCCUAAUGGUGCAGCCGCUAUUAAGGGUUCGUUUGUUCAACGAUUAAUAGUCCUAC
rnacentral:rRNA from 1 species